rnacentral:sRNA from 1 species
GAUAUCAGGGGCAAAAGUCAUGAAACACGACGUGCUUGCACGGGAGUGGUUCUAUGACUUAUUGACCCGCUCCAAUAUGAGGAUAAAAGUGGAGCGUAAGCUCCGCGAUAUCCGAAUAUUGGGAUGGAUCGUGGGAGCGUGAAACGCGAAACAAUCCAUAGAUA